rnacentral:rRNA from 1 species
GACGUAGGGCGCGAGCGUUGUCCGGAUUUAUUGGGCGUAAAGAGCUCGUAGGCGGCUCGUUGCGUCGGCUGUGAAAACCCGCAGCUCAACUGUGGGCUUGCAGCUGAUACGGGCGGGCUGGAGUUCGGUAGGGGAGACUGGAAUUCCUGGUGUAGCGGUGAAAUGCGCAGAUAUCAGGAGGAACACCGGUGGCGAAGGCGGGACUCUGGGCCGAUACUGACGCUGAGGAGCGAAAGCGUGGGGAGCAAACAGG